rnacentral:rRNA from 1 species
UACAGAGGUCUCAAGCGUUUGUUCGGAUUCAUUGGGCGUAAAGGGUGCGUAGGCGGCGCGGUAAGUCGGGUGUGAAAUCUUGGAGCUUAACUCCGAAAUUGCAUUCGAUACUGCCGUGCUUGAGGACUGGAGAGGAGACUGGAAUUUACGGUGUAGCGGUGAAAUGCGUAGAUAUCGUAAGGAAGACCAGUGGCGAAGGCGGGUCUCUGGACAGUUCCUGACGCUGAGGCACGAAGGCCAGGGGGAGCAAAACGGG